rnacentral:lncRNA from 1 species
GGCAAGGGGAAGGAAGUGGAGGAGAAGAGGAGGAGGAGAUUAGAAGACUGCAAGAAAAAUGAGGGGGAAGAAUUUUGGGAAAUAAAGAGAAGGAGCAUACCGACUUAAAUUCCAGAAAUUCCAUUCCUUUGGCAACUUGAUAUGCAAAGCAAAGAAGAUCUUCAAAUUACCAGCCCCAGGCCUGCUGCUGCAGAAAGAAUGAACCUUGGGCACAUCAUUUGGGUAUUUCUAGGCAGAAGAGAGAAGAUCAGAGGGCAUGCCCCAGAGAAUUCUGGGAAAGUAAAGUCUGAUAUCCUAGCUAGGCUGUGCCGUAUUUGACGGCAGCCCAACUGGGGCAGUGGCCAGGCUCUGUAACCACUCUCACCACGCCUGUGCACCAGCUUCCAAGCUGGGAGAGAAGCACAGACACCACCAAAUGUACUUGCAAUGUUGUUGUUGUUGUUGUUUUUAAGCAGGUGAGAAUUAUGCAAUAUAUCACGAUAAAGCAGAUGAAUGAGGCAUUCUUUAUUUUGACCCCUCUGAUUUAUAGAGUGCUCAGUGUCUAAUUCCACUUGGGUUUGAGAGUUCACACUGUGACUGAGAAAAGACAAAGAAUUAAAAAGAGAGAGAGAGAGAGAGAGAGCAAACAUCCUCUUUGUCAUCAAGCUACAGUCUUUUUGAUGAGGUGAUUUUCGUGGAAGUGGGUUACCUGACAGUGUGCACGCCCCCAGCAGGUUCACAAUAUUCUCGUGGCUUCCCAGCUGGGUCAUCAUCUUGAGUUCUGACAUGAGUGCCUCUCUUUCAGAGCUGUCUGCUUUUUCUGUCAAAGAAAGGAGCAUUAAAAAUGUAAAACUCAAGUAAAAUACGAAUUUUAUGUCAUUAAAUAAAAUUUUUCUCAGCUCAGAGUCAAUCUGCAUUAUUUAUUUAAAUUCAAAAUUAUGAGAGAAGCCAGGCAUGGUGGGUCAUGCCUGUAAUCCCAGCACUUUGGGAGGCCGAGGUGGGUGGAUCACUUGAGGUCAGAAGUUCAAGACUGGCCUGGCCAAUAUGGUGAAACCUCGUCUCUACUAAAAAUACAAAAAUUAGCCAGGCGUGGUGGCAGGCACCUGUAAUCCCAGCUACUUGGGAGGAUGAGGCAGGAGAAUCGCUUGAAUGUGGGAGGCAGAGGUUGCAAUUAGCUGAGACUGCACCAUUGCACUCCAGCCUGGGCAACAAGAGUGAAACUCCAUCUUAAAAUAAAUAAAUAAAUAAACAAACAAACAAUAUCCUGUGUUUUAAGACAGAAUUUCUCCUUUUUCUUUUUUUUUUUUCCUUUUCUUUCUUUCUUUUUUUUUGACACAGUAUCUCACUCUGUCACCCAGGCUGGAGUGUAGUGACAUGAUCUCAGCUUACUGUAGCCUCUGCCUCCUGGGCUCAAGUGAUCCUCCUACCUCAGCCCUCCAAGUUACUGGUACUACAAGCACAGGCCAUCAUGCCCAGCUAAUUUUUAUAUUUUUUGUAGAGAUGGGGUCUCACCAUGUUGCCCAGGCUGGUCUUGAACUCCUAGAUUCAAGCAAUCCUCCCAACUCCGCCUCCCAAAGUGCUGGGAAUACAGGCAUGAGCCACCAUGCCCAGCCUAAGGCAGAAUUCAGACUGUAGUAUAGGGCUGGGCGCAGUGGCUCACACCUGUAAUCCCAACACUUUGGGAGGCCAAGGCGGGUGGAUCACUUAAGGUCAGGAGUUGAAGACCAACCUGGCCAACAUGGUGAAACCCUGUCUCUACUAAACAUACAAAAAAUUAGCCGGGCGUGCCGGUGCGUACCUGUAAUUCCAGCUACUCAGGAGGAUGAGGCAAAAGAAUCCCUUGAACUGGGGAGGCAGAGGUUGCAGUGAGCCGAGAUUGAGCCCCUGCACCACUCCAGCCUGGGUGACAGAGCGAGACUCUGUCUCAAAAACAAAACAAAACAAAACAAAACAAAGACUAUAGUAUAAAUGUUGAAUCUGGUAAUGCACCUUUCAACAGGACUUUCCUCUACCUACCAAAAUAAAAAUCCUUACAGUUGGCCCUCAAAACAAACAAACAAAAUAAUAACACAUGCUUUUCCUCCUCAGUACAAGUUAACAGAAGGGAGAAACGUCCUUUUUGUUUGUUUGUUUGAACUCUUGGAUCUGUUGUAGUCAGAGAGAGAUAACAGUGUCGUGAGCAUGGUUGACUCUAGCCUGUGGCCCUCAGGUCUAGAACAUUAGAUUUGCCAGCAAGUCCAAUGGGAGAAGGUCAAAGAGGACUAAUUCCCACUAUCAGGUGCUCAAGAGACCCAUUAAUUGACAUUGAGAAAUAAAACUGCCAAGCAGGCUAGAACAUAUUGGUUGGCCAAUGCAUUCUCUCUCUAGGGAAAAUUCCAGAUAGCUCAGCAAACUGUACUUAUAAGCUGACUUAGAAGCACAGUGUGAGGAAAGUCACUAUGGAAUCCAAGGGCUCCCGUCAUUGCGGCUCAUGUGCAGUUGGUCAGGGCAGCCCGGGCAGCCACAGGGGCAAGGGCAGGGUCUCUGGACUUCCCUCUCCAGGCUCCAGGCACCACCCCUCUGUGAACAGACUUUUUCUUCCAGAUAUAGUAACUCUUCUUUACAUUCAGUGAAGAUUUGGUUCGAUUGCCAGGUUCCAUUAUUUUGUCCAGGAAGGCAUCCUAACCUUUAUAGUGGCUUCUCCGGUGCUGACAUCCUCUAUUUUGGUUUGGGCAAGCUCUCAGGGGUAUCCUUGUUUCCAAGAUUUUAGCUUGGGGGUGGGAUUUCCUGUGGGCACUGGGACCCCCUAAUACAUCAUGUCUUCAGCUUCACGCUGGACAGGGAUUCGGGGCUUUACUUGUUCAUGUCCUAUUCCUCAUGGCUAAAAUAAUAUCUUACAUUUUUUAGCAUGCUUAGCUUCUUCUAAGCAUUUUCAUGUACCAUUACCUCUUUCAUUCAGUCAUUCAACAAGUAUUUAUUGAGUGCCUACUCUGUAAGAGCCAAUGUCCUAGACACUGGGGAAUGAAGGAAAAACAAGACACAACCCUUGUCUUCCUGGAUCUUAGAGUCUCCUGGAGAAGGCAGAGAAGUAAAUAAGCCAUGACAAUACAGUGCCAUAAAUGCAAUACGGCAGGCAAGACGUGGGUCCCCGCGCCUCUAAUCCCAACAUCUUGGGAGGCUGAGACAAGCGGGAGAAUUGCUGGUACCCAGAAGUUCAAGAAAGGCCCGGGCAAAAUAGCAAGAGCUUGUCUCUACUUAAAAAUAAAAUAAAGUAAAAAUACAUAAAUAAAUAAAAUAAAAUAAAAUAAAAAUUAGCUGGGCUUGGUGGUGCCUGCAUGUAGUUCCAGUUACUGGAAAGGCUGCAGACCAUCACUUGAGCCCAGGACUUGAAGCUUGCCGUGAGCUAUGAUGACUUCACUGCACUCCAGCCUGGGUGACAGAGUGAGACCCUAUCUCAAAAAAAGAAAAAAGAAAGAAAAAGAAAAAAUGCAACGUUGGGCUGGGCACGGUGGCUCAUGCCUGUAAUCCCAGCACUUUGGGAGGCUGAGACAGGCGGAUCACGAGGUCAGGAGAUCAAGACCAUCCUGGCUAACACGGUGAAACUCUGUCUCUACUAAAAAUACAAAAAAAUUUAGCCGGGCGUGGUGGUGGGUGCCUGUAGUCCCAGCUGCUAGGGAGGCUGAGGCAGGAGAAUGGCGUGAACCCAGGAGGCGGAGCUUACAGUGAGCUGAGAUGGUGCCACUGCACUCCAGCCUGGGCGACAGAGUGAGACUCCGUCUCAAAAAAAGAAGAAAAAAUGCAACGUGGCAAAGGAGUGCAGGGGUACUGUAGGGUCAAAAGGGAUAGCUACCUUAGCCUUGGAGGGGUGGAGAAAGGAGCAUUCAAUGUCUAAACUGAGUCCUGAAGAAAAAUGGGAGCUGGCCAGGUGACUCAUGGUGGAAGGGGAGGAGAACAGUGCUGAGGGUUGUGAAAGAGUGGGCAAAGGUCGAGAAAGGAGAGAGCACAGCACCACAGACACAGACCCUGCCCUCAUGAGGCACAGGGGCUACUGGACAGAUGGGACAACAAUUGGAUGUUAAAAAAUGUCAUGACAAAGGUGAUGGAUUCUACGGGGGAAAGCCUGCAGAGAGCUAAUGUCGCACAUUGCAAGGGCCUCAAUAUUGUCUGUGGUGUGAGACAGAGGAAGUGGUGUUUAAGCUGAGAUCUGAGGGGGCAGUGGGAGAUACUUACAUGAAAGGGGAAGGGGAAGCAGAAGGAUCCACUUGUGCAAAGGCCCCACAGUGGGUGGGAGGACAGUGCUGGGGGAACUGAAAGAAGGCCAGCGCUCUGGGGUGCCGAGAGCAAGAGGUGGGGAGGCAGCGGUGGCCCAGCCAUGCGGGUGGUGGAGGAAAUGUGAAGUAGGAAAGCCAUUUGAUCUGCUUAGCCUUUCGCCACUGUCACUUGGACCUCAGUAUGGAGAAGCCAAAGGGAGGCAAGAGUGGAUACAGGAACCUGCUUUGGAAGCUUUUGUCCAGGAGAGAGCCUUGAACUAGAGUGGUGGUCAUAGAGAUGGAGGGACGAGGAUGGAAUCAAGAGACACUAAUCGGAAACCUGAUAGGAUUAGCUCACAGGGUGUUAGAAAGAGGAAGGUGUCAAGGAAAAGUCACGGGUUUCUAGUGUGCCCAACUAUAUAGAAUGUGGUUAUUUAUUCACUGGCAUUCAUUACCAGUCACAGAGAGGACUGCUGGUGCAGGGCCAGGGUUAGGGGAAUUCACCUUGCAUACACUGUGUUAAAGGGACCUUUGAGACAUCCAAACAUUUAACAUAUGAACCUGAAGCUCCGAAAGGAGACGCAAGCAUGAGGGCCCUUGGUGUAUGGGAGGACAUCACGGGUGUAGUGGGGAUGGACUGUGUUGAGUGUGUGGAGCGAAAACGCAAGGCGGUCCAGGAGCAAGCCCACAGGGAUGCCCCAUAAAAAGCUGGAUGGAGCCUGGGCAACAUGGCGAAGCCCCAUCUCUACCAAAAAUACAAAAAUUAGCCAGGCAUGGUGGCGCAUGCCUGUAGUCCCCCCUACUCAGGGGCCUGAAGUGGGAGGAUGGCUUGAGCCUGGGAAGUGGAGGUUGCAGUGAGCUGAGAUCACACCACUGCACUCCAGCCUGGGCAACAGAGCAAGGCUGUGUUUCAAAAUCAGCCACAACAACAAAAGCUGGAUGGAAGAAGAUGAGCCCACAAAGGACUGAGUUUCAAAAUCAGCCACAACAACAAAAGCUGGAUGGAAGAAGAUGAGCCCACAAAGGACUGAGAAGGGCAGAGGGGUGGGAGGAAAACCAGAAUAUGGUGACACAAAACCCAAAGAAAGAAAGCUUCUGGAUGGAGAGAAGAAUCAACAGCAUCAAUUCAUGCUGAACAAUCAAGUAAUGAGGACUGAAAAAUAUCCAUUAGGCUUGGUUUGGUUUGAAGUCACUGUUGACCUUAGCAAGAGAGCCAGCUGGAGAUGCUUUUGCUGGGUCAGCGGUGGUAACGGUGAGGCCAGCAAUGGGGCUGGACGCCAGAUCGGAAUGGAUGGAGCAACGAAGUGAGGAUACAAAGGGCCCCAGUUUUCUCUCCUACCCAGAGUCUGUUUCAACCCACACCUGUAAUCCCAGCACUUUAGGAGGCCAAGGCAGCCUCACUUGAGCCAGGAGUUUGCAACCAUCCUGGGCAAUAUGGUGAGACACCGUAUCUACAAAAAAAAAAAAAAAUUAGCCAAUUGUCUUGGCACACUCCUGUGAGGCUGAGGUGAGAGCAUUGCUAGAGCCAAGGAGGUCGAGGCUGCAGUGAGCUAUGAUCACAGCACUCUAGCCUGGGUAACAGAGCAAGAUCCUGUCUCUAAAAAUAAAACAACACAAAUGUAAGAAAGAACUUCUGCCUGUGGCAACUGUAUCCCCAAAUAUCAAAGCCUAUAAAAACUAAAUAGGCCUGGCACAGUGGCUCACGCCUGUAAUCCCAACACUUUGGGAGGCCGAGGCGGGCAGAUAGUUUGAGCUCAGGAGUCCCAGAUCAGCCUAGGCAACAUGGUGAAACCCCGUCUCUACCAAAAAUAAAAAACUUAGCUGAGCGUGGUGGUGCACGCCUGUAGCCCCAGCUGCUGAGGAGCCUGAGCCCAGGGGGUGGAGGCUGCAGUGAGCCAUGAUCACACUACUGUACUCCAGCCUAGGUGACAGAGUGAGACCCUGUCUCAAAAAAAUAAAAGAAAAUAAAAAUAAACAAAGAGAGAAGUGGAAGAAGAGGUGGAGUUUUGUAUUUAUGACUUGAAUUUUGUAUUCAUGACUGGGUUGACACCCCAAUCCACUCCAUUUUUAGCCUUGAAACAUGGCAAACAGUAACCAUUAAAAGGAUGGAAAAGAGAAGAAGGCAUGGGUGGGAAACUGUGCCUCCCAUUUUUGUGCAUCUUUGUUGCUGUCCUUCCACUAUACUGUACCUUUCAGCAUUUUGACGGCAACCUGGAUUGAGACUCCUGUUUUGCUAAUUCCAUAAGCUGUUGCGUUCAUCACUUUUCCAAAAGCACCUGAUCCUAGUACCUUCCCUGCAAAGACAAAUGGUGAGUACGUGCAUUUUAAAGAUUUUCCAAUGGAAAAGAAAUGCUGCAGAAACAUUUGGCACAUUCCAUUCUUACCAAACUCUAAAUUUUCUCUUGGAAACUCCCAUUUGAGAUCAUAUUCAUAUUCUCUGAAAUCAACGUAGAAGUACUCAUUAUCUGAGGAGCCGGUCACCUGUACCAUCUGUAGCUGGCUUUCAUACCUAAAUUGCUUCAGAGAUGAAAUGAUGAGUCAGUUAGGAAUAGGCAGUUCUGCAGAUAGAGGAAAGAAUAAUGAAUUUUUACCUUUGCUUUUACCUUUUUGUACUUGUGACAAAUUAGCAGGGUUAAAACGACAAUGAAGAGGAGACAAACACCAAUUGUUGCAUAGAAUGAGAUGUUGUCUUGGAUGAAAGGGAAGGGGCCUGCAACAAAAGAGUGUCACUCAGCGAUGAAACAGAAUUCCUGUGUGACAUUAUAAAUAGUGGACAACUCAUUAUAAUCUCUCACAUCCUGUUUCAGUAAUAAUCAUUUUCAGUCCUAACAACCACUCUACAUAUACUCUACUCCCCACAGACAAUCAGGCAAUGUCCCUGUAAAGGAUACAUUUCCUCCCUAGAAAAUUGCGGAUUAUUCUCAAUCCAUUCUUUAAAACCAUUUACUAGGGUAAAUUUACAAGAAUUACAUCUGGUCCAGGCACGAUGGCUCACGCCUGUAGUCCCAGCACUUUGGGAGGCCAAGAUGGGAGGAUCACUUGAGUCCAAGAAUUAGACACCAGCCCAGGCAACACAGUGAAAUCCCGUCUCUAAAAAAAUUCAAAAAUUAGCUGGGCGUGGUGGCAGGUGCCUGUAAUCCCAGCUGCUCGGGAGGCUGAGGCAGGAGAAUCGCUUGAACCCUGGCAGAGGUGAGCCAAGAUCACGCCACUGCACUGCAGCCUGGGUGACAGAGCGAGUCUCCAUCUCAAAAAAAAAAAUGCAUGGAUUUAAACCUACAGGAUGUACAAGUCAGAGAAAAAAGAAGUUCAUAUCCCUUUUAUGAAGGUCGCACAUGAAAGUGGAGAAGUCAGUUUUGUGAGGUUGGUGAUCCUAACUACUAGGGUGGGCAGCCAGGUUUCACAACUGUUUAACUUAGGAGGGCUCUAAAAAGCAAACCAAAAAUUAUAAAACAGCAAGCUGAGGGCAAAUAAGGAGGCUAAUCAAAAGGGAAAAUGACAGAGACUCCAAGUGACAAAAUCUGUUUCUCUAGAGUUAGAUCUUUCCAUGGAGAUUCACCACACUGGGAGUUUCUGCUUCUCCCGGUCACUGUGACACAUGAGUCACAAGGGCACAGGGAGGACUCCGCCCCAACCUGUGAAACAGUCUCUCUGGGGAUUCUUGCCUGACUCAAGAAACCUUUUCUCACACACUGACCCUAUACUCUCCUGUAAAAUUCCCCAAGUAAAAGUCAGCGAUGGGGACUAACUUCUAGUGGGGAAUUCCUGAUGGUGGAAUAUCACAAGAACAACUGUUGUACCUGGAGAGUUUAAAAGGAUCGUCUCACAAGAUGUGCCAAGGGAAUUGUAUGCACAGCACUUGACCAGGAACCCUUUUAUGGCUUCACUCAUGUUUAGAGUACUGCUCGACACCCACUGUCCAAACACUUUUCUGUUAGCCUUUCUAUUCCAGACUCCUUCUGUGAUCUCUUCUGUGCAGCUGAAAAAAAAAAUAGCAAAGAAUUUAGACAGGUGAGCUGUCAUCAGAUUGGAAGUUAGGAUUUCUGCAGCGAGUUCUAAAAGAGAUUCAUCCAGUAUAAGUUAUCAGAAACAGUCUAUGACUAUUGAGAGUUAUGGUUGAUUGAGAAGGUUAGCAUUUUAAAUAUUUCAUCAUUUCCUCUUAAACUGUAUUCAUGAAAGAGUCAAUAGGUCAGAGAGUUUUAUGUUCUUCCAUUAUAAGAGGCAUCAAUGUCCUUAUUACUUGGGAGACUUGUCUGAACACUUCUUCCAGGUCCAAGAUGGUAAUGGGUAUCCAUCCGAGAAACAGGACGCCUGACUUGCCGAUGCUUCUGCGAGCACUUGAGGUUUCCCUAUAGAAAAGAACGUGUGAAAUAAGCUCACUGGCUGGGCAUAGUGGUUCACUCCUAUAAUACCAAUACUUUGUGAAGCCAAGGUGGGAGGAUCACUUGGGCCAAGGAGUUCAAGACCAGCCUGGGCAACACAGCAAGACCCUGUCUCUGAAAAUAAUAAAAUAAAAUAAGCUCUUGGAGUAUGGUACUUUCUGGAAAUAGUUUCAAAGUUGCCUACAGUACAGGCUACCCAUUUACUCCAGGGCAGUUUGUGCUUCUGGGAGGAUUUCUCAUUUAGGAUGCCUCCAGACCUCUGGUAAUUUCUUCUUUCCUCCUUGCCAUGCAACCUCCUUGCCAUGCAACCUCUCUGCUACACACCAUUUUUCCAUUGCCAGCCUCUCCCUGGAGAGAGCUGAGGUACAGACCUCCACCUGUUUGCAUGCCUUAAAAUGAUUCUUAGCUUCAGGAGAAGUUGGACUUCUCAUUGUUUUAUAAGCCAAAGAAAUGAAAAUUAUUAAAAACAAAUAAAUGAGAGAUAAAAUGACUUUCAGCCUUUCCUUAACAUGACCUUUCAAAAUACUAAAAUCAAUAAAGUCAUAACACUAAUUCAUAUUCAGAGACAAUGUGAAAUAAGUCUUUCAGCUUCUGAUGAUACACACAGAAAGAGAUAUAUGGCCAGGUGCAGUGGCUCUCGCCUGUAAUCCUAGCACUUUGGGAGGCCAAGGUAUGAGGAUCCCUUAAGGCCAGGAGUUUGAGACCAACCUGGGCAACAAAGGGAGGCCCCCUCUCUACAAAAAUGGUUUUAAAAUUAGCUGAGCAUGGUGGCGCGUGCCUGUAGUCCCAGCUACUCGGGAGGCUUAGGAGGAUCACUUGAGCCCAGGAGUUUGAAGCUACAGGGAUCUAUGAUUGUGCCAUGGCACCCCAGCCUGCGUGGUAGAGUGAGACCUGGUCUUAAAAAUGAAACAGAACAAAAUAACAUAAAAAAUAAAAAGAUAUAUGAUCAAUGCCAGUAGAUAUGAGAGUAAAGUUUCAAAACACUUCAGCGUACAAAAACAGUUUUGUAGUAGCCCUUCUAAGCCAUUACUUAACUUUUCCUAGUUAAGACUAAUAAAAAAUUAAGGAAUUAAAAAAUAAAAAUCAAAUUCUCGGCAAUUUAACUUACUUCUUAUAUUCAGCGUGAACAUUUUGGUAAAUUGGGCAUCAUCAUUUUCUGCAUGGAAUAUAUAUUCUCCUGGCUGGUGCUUAUGAUUGCAAAACUUGGAUAUGCUGUUUGAAAAAGAAUUAAAGACAGAUUUAGCCCAAUUGCUACAGGAGAUGCUGCAACUAAUGACAGUGUGCAUGGGAGGUGUCUUCCUUGAAAUGCUCCUCACUUGCUAAAGUUCACUGGAAAAGGAAAUGUCCAUAUUGUAGACCCUUGCUACUCAAAGUGUGGUCCACAGACAGGCAGCAUCAACAUCGCCAUUGGUAUCAUCUGGGAGCUUGUUACAAUUGCAAGAUUUCAGGUCCCUUCCAAAUCACUGACUCAGAAUCUGCAUUUUAAGAUGAUCACCAUGUGAGUCAUAUGCCCAUUGGGAGUUGGGAUUGGCCGAAGAUUCUCAGUGAGACCAGGAAGUUCCUGCCCCUCUUGCUCUGGAUAGUCUAACUUCUCAGAACUUGUGCAGGUGGAGAAGCCUGUAGUUCAGAGGUCCCCAGCCCCCCAGCCUCUAGACUGGUAACUGUCCAUGGCCUAUUAGGAAAGGGGCCACACAGCAGGAAGUGAGCAGCAGGCAAGAGAGCUUUACCGCUUCCUGUCAGAUCAGCAGAGGGAUUAGAUUCCCACAGGAGCGGAAACCCCACUGUGAAUUGCACACGCCAGGGAUCUAGGUUGUGCGUUCCUUAAGAGAAUCUAAUCCCCGAUGAUCUGAGAUAGAACAGUUUCAUCCCGAAACCAUCCCCCUACCCCCAAUCUAUGGAAAAAUUGUCUUCCACAAAAUGGAUCCUUGGUGCCAAAAACGUUGGGGACUGCUGCUGUAGCUGCCCUGCUUCCUGAAAUGACAGUCCAAGGCAGGACCUAUGACCAACCCUUGACUUACAUAGCAAUGAACAACGAUGAGGGCUCAAAUCCACUGAGCUUGUGCAGAAACCUCUGAGUGCUCUCAGCAGGCUCUAGUGCCUACUUGGAGCACUCAUCAACCACUCAAUAUUUUGACACAGAUAACCUGAUCUUGGGGACUGUCCACCACGCCCAGCAGGCCUGUGGGUUGCUGGAUACUGCAGUGAGAUGUUGGAUGGUGCAGGAGAGGCAGGGCAGCAAUGAGUUGUUGAAUAUGCCUUCGUGCACUCACAGUAACAAAAUUGGAGAAAAAGAAAAAAAUUCCCUUAAAACAGAAAAAGAAAUCUAAGGCUUGUACCGAAGAUAUCUAACUCGACCUCCACAUAGCCUACUGAAAGUUUUUUUUUUUUUUUCUUGAGACAGAGUCUCGCUCUGUCUCCCAGGCUGGAGUGCAGUGGCGCUAUCUCGGCUCACUGCAAGCUCUGCCUCCCGGGUUCCCACCACUCUCCUGCCUCAGCCUCCGGAGUAGCUGGGACUACAGGCUCCUGCCACCACGCCCGGCUAAUUUUUUAUAUUUUUUAGUAGAGACAGGGGUUCACCGUGUUAGCCAGGAUGGUCUCGAUCUCCUGACCUUGUGAUCUGCCUGCCUCAGACUCCCAAAGCGCUGGGAUUACAUGCAUGAGCCACUGCGCCCAGCCUAGCCUACUUAAAGUUUAAAAAACAAAAAGACCCUGCCUGGCAGGUUAGGAAGGUGAGUCAGAGUGGACGCAGCUUUAGAUGAGGAGUGUGGAGGAUGCAAAAGACCUAAAAAGUAGGUAGCUCCUAUCUUCAAAGAUACCUAAACCGGGUGGAUAGACAGGACCCAUACAAGUGGAAUCAUUAAAGCAUUAAACUGAAGUCCAGCAGAUGAUCAAAGAAGGCAGAGGUCUGUGUCGGUGGGAAAGGUUCGGGGCCUUCAUAGAGGAGGUAGAGCUCGAGCUGGAGCCUCACGGAUGAGUUGGUUUUGAUGAGAGGACAAAAGAAAAGGCAUCCAAGGAGGAGACAAAGCAGCGACUGAAGGCGCCAGACGGGAAGUCAUAGGGCUGCAGUGAGGAGGAACGGCAAGCCUCUCAUGGGAGCAGAAUAUCAUGAACAGUAUUGUAUUUACUUACUUUAUUUAUUUAUUGAUAUGGAGUCUCACUCUGUCACCCAGGUUGGAGUGCAGUGGCACUAUCUCGGCUUAUUGCAACCUCUGCCUCCCAGGUUCAAGCGAUUCUCCUGCCUCAGCCUCCUGAGUAGCUGAGAUUACAGGUGCCCGCCACCACGCCCGGCUAAUUUUUUGUAUUUUUAGUAGAGAUGGGGUUUCACCAUGUUGGCCAGGAUGAUCUUGAUCUCUUGACCUAGUGAUCCACCCACCUCAGCCUCCCAAAGUGCCGGGAUGAAUUACGCAUUUUAAAAAUACAAAUUACUUAUUUUCUACAACAAUGCUUACUGCCCUGAGCAUUGCAAUAAAACUUUUUUUUUUUUUUUUUUGAGAUGGAGUCUCACUCUGUCGCCCAGGCUGGAGUUCAGUGGCGUGAUCUUGGCUCACUGCAACCUCUGCCUCCUGGGUUCAAGCAAUUCUCCUGCCUCAGCCUCCCAAGUAGCUGGGAUUACAGGCACACGCCACCACAGCCAGCUAAUUUUUAUAUUUUUCAUAGAGACAGGGUUCACCAUGUUGGCCAGACUCGUCUUGAAUUCCUGACCUCAUGUGAUCCUCUCUCCUUGGCCUCCAAAAGUGCUGGGAUUACAGGCAUGAGCCACUGCACCUAGCCUUAAUUUUAUUUUAUGUAAUUUUUCUGUACAGAUGGGGUCUCACUAUGUUGCCCAGGCUGGUCUCAAACUCCUGCCCUCAAGCCAUCCUCCCCACCUCGGCCUCCCAAAGUGCUGGGAUAACAGGUAUGAGUCAGGGUGGCUUGGCCUAUGAAGAGUGUUUUAUAUGCACCUGCUGAUGGCAGCAAAAGUUUACUGGAAGUUUAAAGGCAGUUGUAGCAAUCCAAGAACUCGUUCAUUCAUUCCUUCAUUCAACUGUCAAUGUUAGAACCUGUUUGUGACGGAAAUUGAGGACACAACAGCAAAUUCAAAAAAUUGGGUUUCUGUUCUCACAGAAUUUACAAUUUGGUGGUGAAGGUAGAGGGGUAAUAAGCAGUUGGAGUGUGGGAAGUUUCUGUGAUAGGAGAAGUAAAAGUUCAGAUUUGAGGUUUCGGAGCAUGACAAGGGGAGCGUUGUUUAAUGGAGGAGAAUGGGAAAGGAGAGAAAAGAGCAAACCCUAGAGGCACCAGAAAAAAAGAAAUGGCAGGGGCUAGAUUGGAUACAGAAGAUAAAGGGGAGAAGAGAAUCCCAGUUGGUCCCCAAGACUCAAAACACACCUGUAAUCCCAACACUUUGGGAGGCUGAGAUGGGUGGACUGCUUGAGGCCAGAAGUUUGAGACCAGCCUUGGCAAUCUACUGAGAUCCCAUCUCUACAAAAAAAAUCCACAAAACGCCACUGCGUAAUUGCAGCUUUUGAGCCCACGUUUGUGUGACACCAAUGUUCUGUGCCCUGAACUCGUAAGCCAAGGUAAUUCUGACUGUGUAUUGUGAACAAGAGAAUUCAUCUCUCUGACCUAUCAAAAGUUUCAGGCAGUUAAAAGUUGACCUUUGGGUGCGUGCAGGGGUUCACAUCUGUAAUCCCAGCACUCUGAGAGGCCGAGGAGGGUGCAAUACUUGAGCCCAGGAGUUUGAGAUCGGCCUGGGCAACAUGGCAAGACCUUGUCUCUACAGAAUUUUUUUUUUUAAUUAGCUGGGUGCGAUGGCACACACCUGUGGUCCCAGCUACUUGGGAGGCCGAGGUAGGGGAAUUGCUGGAGCCACUAUACUCCAGCCUAGGCAGCAGAGCAAGACCCGGACUCAAAAAAAAAAAAAAAAAUGCUGAGCAUUGAAUAAGGUGUUUAACCUUCUUUUGCUUUGUUAACAAGAAGGCUGAAGAAGUCAAAAAGGGGAAUUUCUUAUCCUGACCUAUUUCUGGACAACAAGGAGGAAAUCACUGGUGAAGUGGAAACAAUAGAAAGAUUGGGGGAAAGCCAGAUUACAACCCUAGGGAGGAGAAGAGGAAACAGAGCUCCAUGCCAGUGCCCGACCUCAGGAAGGCAGUGUGGAAGAGGCUGGCGUGGAAGUGGCCCAAGAGAAGAAAGACGUGAGCUUCUAAGAGAGAAAGUGUAAUUCUCUCUGGACAAUGGCCAAAGACCCUGAAAAAGGAGAAGAGAGGAGGUAAUGAAGCCAGUGUGGCUCACCAGAGAGCAUGUCAGAGACACCAGUCAAUUCAGUGGAAAAAGAAAUGACCAGUACAAUUACUUAUCAUGAGGCAGACCAAAGCAAAAUGUUUCGUAAACAUUUUUCUUCCUCAGUCUUUUGUGCUGUCUUAAUAGAGUGUGGUUUGCCAUGGUUUAGAAGAGAUAGCACUUGAAACAUUUUUCACUCUUCUGAACAAACUCCAAGUAUGAAAUUGGUCACAUAAAUAGCAGGAACACAAAACUGAAUAUCCAAUGGCUUUAAACUGCCUUUCCUCAUGCUUAUGACAGUUAACCCUGGAAACAAUGACAACUGCAAUGACAACCGUGUCCUGACCCCAUGGGAAUUCCAAGGGGACUAACUAAUUAGGCUGAUUGGGAGAUGCAAAGCUUCCUCUUUCGCCUAGGGGUUUUCUACAAAUGGCCAGCCGGCAGGAGACGGAGGUCAGGACAUUUGAGUUUACAGUAAAACAAUACCUCGGUGUCUAAGAAGAUGCGUUCUCAUUAAAACUAAGAAAAGGGGUUUCUUGGCUGGGAACGAUGGCUCACGCCUGCAAUCCCAACACUUUGGGAGGCCAAAGGAGGAGGAUCACUUGAGGUAAGGAGUUCGAGAUCAGCCUGGCCAACAUGGUGAAACUCCAUCUCUACUAAAGAUACAAAAAAUUAGCUGGGCACGGUGGCACACGCCUGUAAUCCCAGCUAUUCGGGAGGCUGAGGCAGGAGAAUCGCUUGAGGUGGAGGAUGCAGUGAGCCGAGAUCGCACCAUUGCACUCCAGCAUGGGUGAGAGGGCAAGCCUCCAUCCGAAAUAAUAAUAAUAAUAAUAAUAAUAAUAAUAAUAAUAAUAAUAAAUAAAAAUGUCAAAGAAAGAGAAAGAAAAAAAAGUAAAGUUGAUGCCCAUCAACAGGAGUUAGUUAAAAUAAAAAUUUCUGAAAAGUGGAAUACUAUGCAGCCAUUACAGCAAUAAGGUAGAUAUAACAACAUACUUAUUAAUAUAGAAAGAUACUCAUGAUAUAUUUUAAGUGAAAAAUCAGAUUACAAAUGGUACCUUAUUUCAUGUUUAUACAAAGAUCCAUAUUGUAUGUUUCUAUCAUGGUGCUUACAUAGAAAAAGUCUGCAAUGUUAUCUCUGGAGGUGGAAUUAUGUGUUUUUUUAAGGCAAUUUCAGAAAAAGAAGGAAUAAAGGGUGUUGGCUUUGCCUUCUGUGAUUGGGCAAGUAAUUUAGCCUCAAUUUCCACAUUUCAUAAAAUGGGAUUAUGAGAGUUAAAUGAGGUAAUACACCUAUAGGAUUUUGCACAUGGUAAGAGCUCAAAGAAGGAUCUUUUAUUCUCACAGAAUGGCUUCUUAAGAUGUGGUUAAUAACUUACAACUGAGUGGGGUCUUGGGAAGACCUGCAGCCAGGAAUGUUGUCUCAAACUGCAGAAGUGAAUGGGAACGGCAUUUAGGUAGGAGCUGCUGGUAUUUCUCUAGACUCAAACUUUUCCCUCAUUUUCCCUCCUUUCUGUCUGUGCUCAAGGCUCAACUCCUUCAGAAAAUAGGAAAAAAAAAAAAAACAACUCCUCUCCCAGGCUCCAUAAUCUUCUGCAAUUGUGUGUCACUCAUUGUAUGUGACAGCCUGCUUUUCAGUUUGUGGUUCUUCUGAGCAGGACCCUGGCUCACCACCCAGAACCCAAACGACCACCACACAGCUGUUUACCCCGUAAGCACUCGGUUAGUGCCUACUGUGGGCAAAACUUAGAUUCACAGAGUUGGAAAAUUAAAUAUUUCAGGAAAAAGGAAAACAUCAGGCUUAGGCAAGGCUAAGGAGAAGGUUUCAGAAGAGGUUACUAAGUAAUUACAACAGUCCUAUUCCUUUUUUUUUUUCCCAUAAAAGUGGAAAAAGCUAAGGUAGAUUUGGAAUUUGUAAUUAAGUCUGUAGAGAUAGGAAAUUAUACAAACUAAUGGGUGAAAUAUCCUGGAAACCUUUAUCAGGACCAGGACACCAGGACGGCUAGAAAGUUAUAAUUUAAUAAAACAUAAAGGCAAGCCCUAGUAAACUUUGGCGUAAUAUUUGAGGAAGUAAAUUGGAGAAAUGAAGCCAUGAAAGUGGGGAAGCCGAGAGAUUUCUGGUGCACAUACCAUGACCACACCAAAGUUUUUUCAGGGGUAGUGUUAUUACAGGGGCCUUUCAGUAACAGAUUUUUAAAAAAUUGUAUCACUUUGCCUAUAAAAUCUUGAUACAUGACUAAAAUACUGUACUUCACAAACCAAAUUCGGUUCAAUUAAAUUGUUGAAUCUAGGUGGUAGGUAAAGAAUGCUCAUGCACUAUUAUUUCAACUUAUUAGUAAAUUUGAAACUUUCUAUAAUAAAAAGUCAAAAGGAAAGACGGGUGCAGUGGCACACGCCAAGUUGCAGCUACUCAGGAGGCUGAGGCGGGAGGAUCACUUGAGCCCAGGAGUUAGAAUCCAACCUGGGCAAUAUAGCAAGACCCUGACUCUAAAAAGCAAAAAGAAGCCAGGAAAGGUGGUUCACGGCUGUAAUCCCAGCACUUUGGGAGGGCAAGGCGGGCAGAUCACGAGGUCAGGAGUUUGAGACCAGCCUGGCCAACAUGGUGAAACCCCGUCUCUACUAAAAAUACAAAAAUUAGCCGAGUGUGGUGGUGCAUGCCUGUAAUCCCAGCUACUCGAGAGGCUGAGGCAGGAGAAUCACUUACUCACCUCCACCGAGAGGAGAAUCACUUAAUCACCUCCGCCAGGAGGAGGAGGUUGCAGUAAGCCAAGAUUGCGCCACUGCACUCUAGCCUGGGUGACAGAGCGAGACUCCGUCUCAAAAAAAAAAGCAAAAAGAAGGGCCAGGCGCGGUGGUUCAUACCUGUAAUCCCAGCACUUUGGCAGGCCGAGGUGGGCGUAUCAUUUGAGGUCAGGAGUUCGAGACCAGCCUGGCCAACAUGGCAAAACCCCGUCUCUACUAAAAAUACAAAAAAAUAGCUGGGCAGGGUGGCACAUGCCUGUAAUCUCAGCUACUAGGGAGGCUGAGGCAGGAGAAUCACUUGAACCCAGGAGACGGAGGUUGCAGUGAGCCAAGAUCAUGCCACUGCACUCCAGCCUGGGCGACAGAGUGAGACUCUGUCUCAAAAAAAAAAAAAAAGGCAAAAACAAAGAAAAGUGGAAAUUACCCCUGACUAUAAUCUAGUCCUCCAUCCCCAUCUCAACAUAGAGCCUCAUGUGGAGAGAAAAAGACAUUUAGAGCACUCAGAGGCGUGUUCAAAUUUUGUGUUGUUCGUUUCUUGUUCAGUACUUUGAGCAUGUUUUCUCAUGAAGAAGGAGGGCCCAUCUUUCCUUUGCUGUGUGUCGUCAGUGGCCCAUAACACCUGGUACAUUAUCAGUACCAACAAUGCACAUCAUUAGCACAAACACUGUAGCUCUUCAAGAACUUUCAAAUAACAAUAAACACUGAGUACUGGGUGUUGUGCUAAGAACCAUGUGCAUGGUCCUUGCAGUGAAGAGGAUGCUGUCGACUCAUCUUUGGCCCAGACUGCACUGUGAGUUGCAUUCCAGAUAUGAUGAUGAAUUCAUUCAUUUAUUAAACACACUUACUGAACAAGGCAUUGUACAAAGAUAGAGAAAUAUGGCAGCAUACCUAUUCUUAGAGUUUAUAAACUCCCUGGUGAGAUGUGACAUACAUACUUAUCUGUUGCCAGAUAAGUAGGAAUGAGUGAGGUACAAAACGCUAUAGGAGUCAGGAGCUCACCUAAUUCAUUCAUUUGGCUACCUCUAUAGGAUAACAAUCUGGGGUCAUGGGUAUGGAUUGUAGCCAUGGAAUGAAACUACAUGAAGCAGCCCACUACAUUGGCCCAUGACCCAUAUGUCAGUGACAUGGUCCCCAACUGGCGAUUCUGUAAAAUCUCAAAAGGUUAUACCAGAUAUCACCAGCACAGUAGCAAUCUGUGUACAUUCUUGCGGGAGAGGGAAAGCAACAUUACCUUAUUCACUCUUGCAGCCCAUCACAGCAUCACACCCAUCAAGAGGAUAUUAAAGUAAUAUUUGUUGAACUAAAUUGAAUCGACCCCUUCUCUCUUUGAAUCAGGUUCAGAAGAGAUUCCCAUAAUGCUAAGAGCUUAUCUAACAUGGGGAUAGGAUACAAAGGAGAGAGGGGACAGUGAUAUGCUGAUUUCCUUCUGAACACAGGCCAAGUGGUAAUCAAGUCAACUAGGGUAAAGAGGGGCUGACUCUCCAACCUUCUACAUUUAAAAGCUUGAUGGGCCAGGCGCGGUGGCUCACGCCUGUAAUCCCAGCACUUUGGGAGGCUGAGGCGGUUGGAUCACUUGAGGUCAGGAGUUCGAGAACAGCCUGGCCAACAUGAAGAAACCCCGUCUCUAUUAAAAAUACAAAAAAUUAGCUGGGCAUGGUGGCAUGCACCUAUAAUCCCAGCUACUUAGGAGGCUGAGGCAGGAGAAUUGCUUGAACCCAGGAGCUUGCAGUGAGCCAAGAUCGUGCCACUGCACUUCAGUCUGGGCAACAGAAUAAGACUCUGUCUCAAAAAAAAAAAAAAAGCUUGAUAUUUCUGAAUAACAGCUUACGAUGACUGUGGGUUGAUGCCUCUAAGGCAAUGGUUCUCAAAAAAAAAAAAAAAAAAAAUGCCAGGGGUUAUUUUUCUCAAUUUGGCAGUGUCUGGAGAUAUUUUUGGUCACACUGGGAAAAGGGAAUGUGCUCCUGGCAUCCAGUGGGAGGAGACCCGGGAUGCUGAAAAGUAUCCUACAGUGCACAGGACAGUCCUUCACAACAAAGAAUUAUCCAGCUCAACAUGCCAGCAGCGCCACUGUUGACAAACCCUGAGUUUGGGGGAGUGUGUUUCAGUCAGCUCCCAGACCAGUCUGCAUUCUUAAUUACUUUAAAAAUGAAUGCUCUGAACAUUGGGGGGUUUCAGUAAGAGACAGUAGACAACUCCAUGCAAACCCUGCACUGAGAUUCUAAAAGUCCCAACAAGGGACUUUUAGUACAAAUCCCUUUUAGGUAUAAAGAGUAACAAUAAUCAUGAAACAAACACUUAGCGGAAUCAAGGUGAAAAGAACUCCUACUCUUCAUCUAGAACAGGGCUAGCCAAUGAAACAGAAUGUGAGUCACAACUUCAAGCCUUGUACAUCAUUUACAAAUUCUGUUGGCUGUAUAAAGUAAAAGGAAGCAGGUGAAAUUAAGUUUAAUAACAUAUUUCGCUGAAUGCGAUAUAUCCAAAAUACUAUCAUUUUAAUAUAUAAUCAAUGUAAAAAUUGUUUUAAUUUUAUUAUUAUUUUUUCUUUUUGAGGCAGGUUCUUGCUCUGCAUCCAGGCUGGAGUGCGGUGACGUGAUCAUGGCUACUGCAGCCUCGACCACCUGGGCUCAAUCAAUCCUCCAACCUCAGCCUCCCAAGUAGCUGGGACUAAAGGUGUACACCACCACACUCAACUCAUUUUUGUAUUUUCUGUAGAGAUGGGAUUUUGCCAUGUUAUCCAGGCUGGUCUCAAACUCCUAGGAUCAAGCGAUCCACCCGCCUUGGCUUCAUAAAGUGCUGGGAUGACAGGUGUGACCCACCGAGCCCGGCCAAUAUAAAAAUUAUUAAUAAUAUAUUUUACAUUCUUUUUUUCAUACUAAGUCUUCAAAAUCUAGUGUGUAUUUUACAAUUAGAGUACAUCUCAAUUUGGACCAGACACACUUCAAGCUCUCAAUAGCCACAUGUGGCUGGUGGCUACCGUACCGGACAGCACAGAUCUAGACCUGUGAUAGGAAUCACCAAAGGUUCUCAUUAAAAAAGCAGAGUCUGAGCGUUUUGCCCCAGUUUUGAGUCAGCAUGUCUGGAAUGGGAGCCAGGAAUCCACAUUUUAAACAUUUGCUCAGAUGAUUCUUACACAGUUGUUCAACAGACCACAUGCUGAGAAAGGAUGAUUUAUUCUAGUCCAUUGACUUGUUUGAAAGAUAACAUGUGCGUCUCAGUGUCUCAUAGCCUAGUCCAAAACCAUGUUCCAUAGCAUUAGUUUAAAGAGACAAGAGAUGUCAUAACUAUAGAAGAUAUAGGGGAAAGUUGUUUUUUGUUUUCCAAAGAAGGAAUGGAGAAUUCCUCCCACAAGAGAAUCUUUCGGCUGGGUGCAGUGGCUCACGCCUGUAAUCCCAGCACUUUGGGAGGCCCAGGUAGGGUGAAUCUCCUGAGCUCAAGAGUCCGAGACCAGCCUGCGCAACAUGGCAAAACCCUGUCUCUACCAAAAAUACAAAAAAUUAGUCAGGUGUGGUGGUGUGCACCUGUGGUACCAGCUACUUGGGAGGCUGAGGUGGGAGGAUCACUUGAGCCUGGGAGGUGGAGGUUGCAGUGAGCCAAUAUUGCACCACUGCACUAUAGCCUAGGUGACAGAGUGAGACCUCAUCUCAAAAAAAAAAAAAAAAAGAAAAAGAAAAAGAAAAGAAAAUUUGUUGUUCUUAAAAAAAAGAAUCUUGCAUAGUUUCUCAUACAAAUCCCGAGGAAAACAACAUUUUCCUUCAGCACUUACUAUUGGGCUAUUUCUGCAUGUAUUUUUUGAAAAUUUAAAUCAAUACACCUAUGAGUAAUGUUUUUCUGUUUUUAAGGAGUUUUACUUCCUCAAUCAUCUGCAAAUGUUUUAGGGGAGACUCAGUGUCCUACACACCGCACUCUCAAACAGGAAGUAAAAACUACCUUGUGACUCAGAAAAUGCCAGAGAACCAGACUCAAACUAGACCAGACUAAUACGGUUCUUUCUGUUUUCAUGCAGCAGGUUAUAUUAUCUAAAGUAAUGGUAAGACUGCUACUGUAUCCUCACAUCUGCUUAUUGUUUUCUUAUCUCCAAUUUCAACUCAAUAAUAGUUAAACUCAUAAGUGAAUUUGCUUCCAUAAGUAUAAAACUGUCCUUCUCAAGGGCGACAAGCAAGGAGAAUUAUGCUAAAAAUGGUAUCUUAGAGUCCUUUGUGGUCUCACCUGUAUCCGUUAUCAAGACCCUUUUGCUCACAAGGAAAUGAUUUUCGAGAGAAGGUCCACGUACAUCUGAUUUGUGGGUAGGCUUUAAACCUGACAGAAAAACAAAACUCUUCAUAUUGGUCAAUUUCAUAAUCUUCACUUGAAUUGGUAGCAUUUAUAAAUCCCUUUUCUGUAAGAAAAAAUAGGCAUUUAUGAGUUAGUUAAUAAUAUUCAUAGGGAAACGUAUUGAGAAGAUAAAAUAAACUUGUAUUCAUCAGUUUAACACAGGAAAACUCAAGUGUUGGCAUGCUGCAGGUCAGGUUGGAUAAUCCAAGUGAAAACCCAGGAGUCCUAUCCCUAGUUCUAAGCCUGAGCUCAUCAUCUUUCGAAGUUAAGAAAUGUUUAAAAAAAGAAAGAAGGAAAGAAAAAGAAUGGGAUGUAGAUAAUUGACUGUCUGGCCCCUGCUCUCAGCCAGCACCACUCUUCCAUUGAUGAGAGAGAGUAAAAUAAACUCAAGGCACAAAUAAAAGAGCGAUCUGGCUAGCAAUAUUCACGAGGUUGCCUUAUGGAACACUUCCUUAUUAAUCUGCUAAGAGCAUCGCUGUAUUUCUCGGCAUUUUCAUUAUGGCUGAACGCUGUGCCCUAAUCUGAGAUUAUUGAACUGUGGUUAUUUUCAGAUCCUACAUACCCCACCAAAAUUUCAGUGCAUCUAAGGGCUUGUACUGUCUCUCAGUGCUCACUGCCCUAACAGUGCGGUUAGUUGGUUCUUAGAACUAGUAUUUAUUGUCCAUUUUGUGUCAGGCUCUGUGUCAGGUUCUGGAACUACAAGGAUAGAAUGAGUUGUUCUUGUCCUUAAGAAACUUACAGUCUACUGGAGGAUAAAAGUACACAAACAGAUGGUCAUAUUACAAUGUGUUAUAUGCAAAGACAGUGGCAUUCAAGCGAGCCUGGUUUAACGGGAAAAGGAAGAGGGUGGGCAGAUUAUCUUUGCAAAGCUAUUCUAACUCAGUUUCUUUCUUAGUGUUUGAUAGUAGCAUUAUAUUGAAAUCAGAAUUUGUACCACAUACUUCACAUUCCACACUACAGCGACUAAAAAUAGGAAUAAAGAUUGUGUGAGCAGCCUGCAUUACCUACGAUGGUAACCAAAGCUGAUUGACUGGGAUGCUUUGAAGAGGAACAAGUGUAGUAUCCGGUGUCGUUUCUUGCCACUGAUGAUACAAAAGCAAACAGAAUCCGUAUCAUAGUUCUGUUUGUUGAAUAGGUACUCAUCUCAAAGUAGUUGCCCUAGGUUUUAAUAAAACAGAGUUUGCAUUUAAUGUUUUCAAUCCAGACUAUUAGUUAAUUGUUCCUGCAUUUUCAGAAUACAAACUUGUCCUAUUACCUCCUCGAGUGCUUUGUUUUCUAAUUCCCAGGUGAGCCCGAAUCCAUGGUUCACAUGAACAGCUUUGCACCUUAUCCAUAAGGGUUCCCCUACUUUAAGAAAUAAUUGUGGCAAUGUGGUCUGAGGAGUUUGAUUUAGAUCUAGGAGAUGAAAACAUCCCAAGUGAGAAAAAAAAAGUGAUUUUUGCCUCAUCACAAAAGAUAUCCUGAACAUUCUGAACAAAGACUUUAGCAUCAUCUCAAAUAUUACUAACCACAUUAAUAAAAGAAGCUUUUAGAGACUGACUCCUCUUUUAUGAAGAAAUCAGCAUUUACAGAAUCCAUAAUAUUGCAUUUACUGUGACCUGAAGGAAUGAUAGGAUUUCUGAAGUUGAAUGAUCACCUACGCAGUUACUGUUAGUCCCUGAUAGUUGCUAAGAACCGGUCACUGAAAAUGAAAGUGCAUGAUAUUAUAGUGUUACCUAUUGUGAACAGCCUGGUGCAUUCCCUGCCCAGUUCAUUUCUGGCACAGCACCUUAUGUCCGUCCCAAAUAAUUCAUGAAGCACUUUUUCCUCCUUUUUAACAACAGCUGGACUUUCUUCUUUACAGCUGCAAUUAGAAAAGAAGUACCAUUUGGCUAAACAAGUUUUAAAAUUACAAAUGAAUGCUCAAGAGGAGAACAAAGUUCUAGAGCCAGUUUUAAGGGUCAAAUGGUAAACAAAAGGUCAAAAGGUAAACAAGCCCAUAUCUAUGGUUUCAGCUAAGAGCUCAGAGGGGAGCUAGCUAGUUACUCAUUAUCGCAAUGAAUUAGCAUAACACUAAGGAGAAUUACAUAACAAAACAGUUUAAAAUUGUUCAUGUUUGGUGAUCUCUUUGUUGCUGUUGUUUAAAGACAGGGAAAGAAAGGGAAAAAAAUGAGAAAGAAGAUAAAGGAAAAAAAGAGAAGAAAGAGAGAAGAGAAAAAGCAUGAUUGGGCUUUCAUGAAGUUUAGCAAGGUAAGCAUCCUUUUGGGACGCAGUAAGGGAGGGGGAAGCUAAAGUUUCAAAAGUCACCCGAGUUCCCAUAGGAACAGAGGAGGGCCAAGGUGUCACCCACAAGGGAAGUCAGCCAAGACUCCCAAGUAUUCAACAGAGCAAAACCCCUCUCCCUGCCUCAGCAGAAAGCGAACUUUUGUACCACUUUGGAACAAAGUAUUUGGUACUUUUUCUCCUUCUAUUUGGUCCUAUUUUAAAAAAAAAAAAGUUGUUUAGUAAAUUUUAAUUAGUUCAAACUGCAUGAAUUUUUACUUUGUAAGAACUUAACUUUGGCAUAUAUGAAAAACUAUGUAAACAUUUAUACCUUACUUAGUAUUGGCUAGGCACUGUUCUAUGUGCUUUACAUAUAUCAAUUCAUUUAAUCAGAAUAGCAAUCCUAUAAGUAUCUGUUGUCAUCCGCAUUCUUCUGAUGAGGCACAGAGAGUAAGUAACUUGUCCAAGGCCACACAGCUGCUAAGCAAACCAGGGUUCAAACCCAGGCUAUCUGGCUCUGGAUUCUAUAUCUUUAAACAAUCAUAUUAGACUGCUUUCCCAGAACAAACAGGAUAAUCAGAAAUUAAACAUUUUGUCACAAGGAAUUUCUUUCUUCCUUUCUUUUCUUUUUUUUUAGAUGGAGUCUCACUCUGUCACCCAGGCUGGAGUGCAAUGGCGCGAUCUCGGGUCACUGCAAUCUCCGCCUCCCGGGUUCAAGCAAUUCUCCUUCCUCAGCCUCCUGAGUAGCUGGGAUUACAGAUGCCCACCACCACACCUGGCUAAUUUUUGUAUUUUUAGUAGAGACGGGGUUUGACCAUGUUGGUCAGGCUGGUCUCGAACCCCCAACCUCAGGUGAUCUGCCUGCCUCGGCCUCCCAAAUUGCUGGGAUUACAGGUGUGAGCCACUGUGCCCAGCCUAUAAUUUCCCUUUUUUUUUUUUUUUGAGAUGGAGUCUCGCUCUGUCA